rnacentral:rRNA from 1 species
AAUUUUGGGCAAUGGGCGAAAGCCUGGCCCAGCAACGCCGCGUGAGGGAUGAAGUAUUUCGGUAUGUAAACCUCGAAAGAAUGGGAAGAAUAAAUGACGGUACCAUUUAUAAGCUCCGGCUAACUACGUGCCAGCAGCCGCGGCAAUACGUAGGGAGCAAGCGCUGUUCGGAUUUACUGGGCGUAAAGGGCGCGUAGGCGGCGCGGUAAGUCACUUGUGAAAUCUCUGAGCUUAACUCAGAACGGCCAAGUGAUACUGCUGUGCUAGAGUGCGGAAGAGGCAACCGGAAUUCUUGGUGUAGCGGUGAAAUGCGUAGAUAUCAAGAGGAACACCUGAGGCGAAGGCGGGUUGCUGGGCCGACACUGACGCUGAUGCGCGAAAGCCAGGGGAGCAAACG